rnacentral:rRNA from 1 species
GACGAACGCUGGCGGCAUGCCUUACACAUGCAAGUCGAACGGAUCUAGGGGCUUGCUCCUAGGUUAGUGGCGAACGGGUGAGUAAUGCAUCGGAACGUACCCAGUCGUGGGGGAUAACGUAGCGAAAGUUACGCUAAUACCGCAUACGUCCUGAGGGAGAAAGCAGGGGACCGCAAGGCCUUGCGCUCAUGGAGCGGCCGAUGGCAGAUUAGGUAGUUGGUGGGAUAAAAGCUUACCAAGCCGACGAUCUGUAGCUGGUCUGAGAGGACGACCAGCCACACUGGGACUGAGACACGGCCCAGACUCCUACGGGAGGCAGCAGUGGGGAAUUUUGGACAAUGGGCGAAAGCCUGAUCCAGCCAUGCCGCGUGCAGGAUGAAGGC